rnacentral:rRNA from 1 species
UACGUAGGGUGCAAGCGUUGUCCGGAAUUAUUGGGCGUAAAGAGCUUGUAGGCGGUUUGUCGCGUCUGCUGUGAAAUUUCGGGGCUCAACCCCGAACUUGCAGUGGGUACGGGCAGACUAGAGUGUGGUAGGGGAGACUGGAAUUCCUGGUGUAGCGGUGAAAUGCGCAGAUAUCAGGAGGAACACCGAUGGCGAAGGCAGGUCUCUGGGCCACUACUGACGCUGAGAAGCGAAAGCAUGGGGAGCGAACGGGAUUA